AUGCAUGCAAGGCCAAAAGCGCCACCCGCUGGAUUUUCGAAGAUACAUGUUGAUGGGGCGGUCUUCCGUGACCGACGUGGAGCAGUUGCGGCAGUGUGCCGGGACCAAGUGGGUAACUAUCUGGGGAGUUCGGCUUUGGUCUUGCCAGGAAUCAUCGACCCAGCUACCUUGGAGGCAAUAGCAUGCAGAGAAGGCCUUGCUUUGGCUGAAGAUCUUCUCUAGCGAAACAUAACGGUCACGUCCGAUUGCAAGCAGGUUGUUGAUGAUAUCAAGCUGGGGAACCAGGGAGUUUAUGGUUCAGUGAUAACAGAAAUUAAACUUAGAUCUCAGGAUUUUACUUGUAAUUUCGUUUUUGAAAACCGUUCUUCAAACGGUGAAGCUCAUAGCUUAGCUAAGCAUGCACUUUUUCUCGGUGUGGGGCGCCAUGUAUGGCUGGCAAACCCUCACAAUCCGACCUGUAUCCCACUUCAUGUGGAUUAUGAUCAAUAA
rnacentral:rRNA from 1 species